UGUGUACUCCCUCCGUUCCAAAAUACUUGACUUCCAUUUGUCCAAAAAUGGAUGUACCUAUAUACUAAGACAUGUCUAUAUACAUAUAUAUUUUGACAAAUAGAAGGCAUGUAUUGUGCAACGGAGGGAGUAGAAU
rfam:Triticum aestivum genome assembly, contig: Triticum_aestivum_CS42_TGACv1_scaffold_021689_1AS